UCCCUCCACAAGGGUUGGGCCACCGGCUUCAGGUGUUACCGACUUUCAUGACUUGACGGGCGGUGUGUACAAGACCCGGGAACGUAUUCACCGCAGCGUUGCUGAUCUGCGAUUACUAGCGACUCCGACUUCAUGAGGUCGAGUUGCAGACCUCAAUCCGAACUGGGACCGGCUUUUUGGGAUUCGCUCCACCUCACGGUAUUGCAGCCCUUUGUACCGGCCAUUGUAGCAUGCGUGAAGCCCAAGACAUAAGGGGCAUGAUGAUUUGACGUCAUCCCCACCUUCCUCCGAGUUGACCCCGGCAGUAUCCCAUGAGUUCCCACCAUUACGUGCUGGCAACAUAGAACGAGGGUUGCGCUCGUUGCGGGACUUAACCCAACAUCUCACGACACGAGCUGACGACAACCAUGCACCACCUGUUCACCAGUGUCCAAAGAGUCCCGUAUUUCUACGGUGUUCUGGUGUAUGUCAAGCCUUGGUAAGGUUCUUCGCGUUGCAUCGAAUUAAUCCGCAUGCUCCGCCGCUUGUGCGGGUCCCCGUCAAUUCCUUUGAGUUUUAGCCUUGCGGCCGUACUCCCCAGGCGGGGAACUUAAUGCGUUAGCUGCGUCACGGAAACCGUGGAAUGGUCCCCACAACUAGUUCCCAACGUUUACGGGGUGGACUACCAGGGUAUCUAAGCCUGUUUGCUCCCCACCCUUUCGCUCCUCAGCGUCAGUUACGGCCCAGAGAUCUGCCUUCGCCAUCGGUGUUCCUCCUGAUAUCUGCGCAUUCCACCGCUACACCAGGAAUUCCAAUCUCCCCUACCGCACUCUAGUCUGCCCGUACCCACUGCAGGCCCGAGGUUGAGCCUCGGGAUUUCACAGCAGACGCGACAAACCGCCUACGAGCUCUUUACGCCCAAUAAUUCCGGAUAACGCUUGCGCCCUACGUAUUACCGCGGCUGCUGGCACGUAGUUAGCCGGCGCUUUUUCUGCAGGUACCGUCACUCUCGCUUCUUCCCUGCUAAAAGAGGUUUACAACCCGAAGGCCGUCAUCCCUCACGCGGCGUUGCUGCAUCAGGCUUCCGCCCAUUGUGCAAUAUUCCCCACUGCUGCCUCCCGUAGGAGUCUGGGCCGUGUCUCAGUCCCAGUGUGGCCGGUCACCCUCUCAGGCCGGCUACCCGUCGACGCCUUGGUGAGCCAUUACCUCACCAACAAGCUGAUAGGCCGCGAGCCCAUCCCAGACCGAAAAAUCUUUCCAACCCCCACCAUGCGAUGAGAGCUCAUAUCCAGUAUUAGACGCCGUUUCCAGCGCUUAUCCCAGAGUCCAGGGCAGGUUGCUCACGUGUUACUCACCCGUUCGCCACUGAUCCACCAAGCAAGCUUGGCUUCACCGUUCGACUGCA
rnacentral:rRNA from 1 species